rnacentral:lncRNA from 1 species
UAAAUUCAUACGCAAACAAUUCCAAUACCCACAGCCUAGGCAAUGGUCAAGCACAAAAACCAGAAUAUGAAAUUGCAAUUAAAUUUAGUGAAUGAAAAUUCUUCAUCAUCUUGAAAAUCUGUAUUAAUUAAGCAAUCAAAUCCAUAGAGUAAUCAUAAUUAGGGCUUACUCUUAGCCUUAGCUAAGAGUUUAGAACACCAUGAAACAAGAAUUCAUGAUAAUUCUGGAAAAGAAAAUCUUCACAAAAAUAAAGCUAGAAAAAACCAAUUAUAUUGUUGCGCUUUGCUCUUCCGACCAGUCACGCAGAAGAAGCCUCCCACUUUUCACCAACUCUCCCCUUUUUAUAGUCGUCUCAUGUAAACCCUUGAGUUCAGAUAGGAAAUCUCUCACAACCCAGGAUAAGAAGUUUCUUUUGUAUCAGGAAAUUGCCAACUGCCACAAUCCUCAUAGAAACCAAUUAGCCCAAUAUAUCAUUGCUGCAAACUUCACGAACUGAAAUUUAAUUGAGAAAAUUGAGUUUUCCAUCUCUCUACUAAUGAAUUGCAACCCUCCUUUCUGAAAUGGUGCGGCAGCUUUCCUUUGAGAGCCAGGGAAUAAAACCUCAUCAAUUUCUCAUUAGUUGGAAAGACAAAAGGUGGUGGGGCCCGUGAUACAUCCCAUCUGCUUUUCUCUUUUCAUCCUACUGUUCUAAAGCUUUCACACAAAUAUGACUUGCUUGCCACAUAACACACUCCUGCAUUUAAAUGUAAUAAGAAAUUAAAAAGAUAACUAAUGAAUGAAGUUGAACCCAAUAAAACCACGUGAAUUGGUAGAAAUCAGGAAUAUAGAAUGCAUCUUUACUUAUCCCAACAAUAUACGCUAUUGAGACACAAAAACAACUAAUUAACUUAAUUAAAUCAAAUCCGCCACUAACAAAUACAAUUUCAUGAUAAUAAAUGUAAUAAUUUUGUGCUCAUCAUCCACUCAGAAUAUUGCUUGACAGAUCCAAUGAUUGCAAACUACCUGGCAAAAGAAUGCAGGGCCCCUCCUUCAAGUUUGUUAUUAGAGAGAUCAAGAUGUGCCAGAGACCUCAUGUUUCCAAAAACAUCAGGAAUUGAACCGGCUAGAAGGUUCAAAGAGAGGUCAAUAUGAACAUGGCUGGUACUAUAGUUGGACAACCAUAUGAAUAUUGAAGAAGUACUCAAAUGGUUCGAAGAGAGGACAACGCUAGAAGAGUUUAUGUAAGAAAGAGUGGAAAGAAUUGGAGAAGGAAGAUCACAGCCCUCUAGUGUCAAGUUUGUUAGUUCAGGAAGCUUAUUGAUGGCUUCCGACCAAUCAUAAACAUUGCUGAGAUUCACGAAAUUCAAGUCCAAAUAUCUUAAUGACGAAAGAAGAGGAAGUCAGUCAAGAUUUUCUGCAUUUGUAAAGUUAUUAGCUUCUAAGGCAAGAUACUGCAAGUUCGUAAGAUUUCCGACCUCACUUGGAAACUUGCCAUCAAAAUAAGUCCAAGAUAGAUCAAGGUAUCUUAAAUUGGAUAGAGAACCAAUGAAAUCUGGAACUGAGAUCCCAAUUAAAUUAAUCCCACCAAGGUCCAAAUGUUCUAAAUAGUGCAACUCAAUCAGUUUAGAACUAAUCAUCUUACCUUGCAAAGAAUACAGUCCAUGAAGAUCAACUUGAAUAACAUGGCCCGUCUGGUUGCUACAAGAAACUCCCACCCAUCUGCAACAAUCUUGUUUUUGGGCUUCU